rnacentral:rRNA from 1 species
AUGAACGCUAGCUACAGGCUUAACACAUGCAAGUCGAGGGGCAUCAGGGUGUAGCAAUACACCGCUGGCGACCGGCGCACGGGUGAGUAACACGUAUCCAACCUGCCCUUUACUCGGGGAUAGCCUUUCGAAAGAAAGAUUAAUACCCGAUGGUAUAACAUGACCUCCUGGUUUUGUUAUUAAAGAAUUUCGGUAGAGGAUGGGGAUGCGUUCCAUUAGGCAGUUGGCGGGGUAACGGCCCACCAAACCUUCGAUGGAUAGGGGUUCUGAGAGGAAGGUCCCCCACAUUGGAACUGAGACACGGUCCAAACUCCUACGGGAGGCAGCAGUGAGGAAUAUUGGUCAAUGGGCGAGAGCCUGAACCAGCCAAGUAGCGUGAAGGAUGACCGCCCUAUGGGUUGUAAACUUCUUUUAUAUGGGAAUAAAGGGUGCCACGUGUGGCAUUUUGUAUGUACCAUAUGAAUAAGGAUCGGCUAACUCCGUGCCAGCAGCCGCGGUAAUACGGAGGAUCCGAGCGUUAUCCGGAUUUAUUGGGUUUAAAGGGAGCGUAGGUGGACAUGUAAGUCAGUUGUGAAAGUUUGCGGCUCAACCGUAAAAUUGCAGUUGAUACUGCGUGUCUUGAGUACAGUAGAGGUGGGCGGAAUUCGUGGUGUAGCGGUGAAAUGCUUAGAUAUCACGAAGAACUCCGAUUGCGAAGGCAGCUCACUGGACUGCAACUGACACUGAUGCUCGAAAGUGUGGGUAUCAAACAGGAUUAGAUACACUGGUAGUCCACACAGUAAACGAUGAAUACUCGCUGUUUGCGAUAUACAGUAAGCGGCCAAGCGAAAGCAUUAAGUAUUCCACCUGGUUUGUUCGCCGGUAACGCUGAAACUCAAAGGAAUUGACGGGGGCCCGCACAAGCGGAGGAACAUGUGGUUUAAUUCGAUGAUACGCGAGGAACCUUACCCGGGCUUAAAUUGCAAAUGAAUAUGCCGGAAACGGCAUAGCCGCAAGGCAUUUGUGAAGGUGCUGCAUGGUUGUCGUCAGCUCGUGCCGUGAGGUGUCGGCUUAAGUGCCAUAACGAGCGCAACCCUUAUCUUCAGUUACUAACAGGUCAUGCUGAGGACUCUGGAGAGACUGCCGUCGUAAGAUGUGAGGAAGGUGGGGAUGACGUCAAAUCAGCACGGCCCUUACGUCCGGGGCUACACACGUGUUACAAUGGGGGGUACAGAAGGCCGCUACACAGCGAUGUGAUGCCAAUCCCUAAAGCCCCUCUCAGUUCGGAUCGAAGUCUGCAACCCGACUUCGUGAAGCUGGAUUCGCUAGUAAUCGCGCAUCAGCCACGGCGCGGUGAAUACGUUCCCGGGCCUUGUACACACCGCCCGUCAAGCCAUGGGAGCCGGGGGUACCUGAAGUACGUAACCGCAAGGAGCGUCCUAGGGUAAAACUGGUGACUGGGGCU